GACGUAGGGUGCAAGCGUUGUCCGGAUUUACUGGGCGUAAAGAGCGCGUAGGCGGCUCGUUAAGUGUGAAGUGAAAUCUCCAGGGCUCAACCCGGAAACUGCUUUACAUACUGGCGGAGCUAGAGGAAUGCAGAGGUUAGUGGAAUUCCUGGUGUAGCGGUGGAAAUGCGUUGAUAUCAGGAGGAACACCCAUGGCGAAGGCAGCUACUGGGACGGU
rnacentral:rRNA from 1 species